rnacentral:rRNA from 1 species
AACGCGAAGAACCUUACCUACCCUUGACAUCCUCAGAACUUGUUAGAGAUAACUUGGUGCCUUCGGGAACUGAGUGACAGGUGCUGCAUGGCUGUCGUCAGCUCGUGUCGUGAGAUGUUGGGUUAAGUCCCGUAACGAGCGCAACCCUUGUCCCUAGUUGCCAUCAUUUAGUUGGGAACUCUAGGGAGACUGCCGGUGACAAACCCGGAGGAAGGUGGGGACGACGUCAAGUCAUCAUGGCCCUUACGUCCAGGGCUACACACGUGCUACAAUGGUCGGUACAAUGGGCAGCGAUACUGCGAAGUGGAGCGAAUCCCAAAAAGCCGGCCUCAGUCGGAUUGAAGUCUGCAACUUAAACUUCCAUGGGGUCAGGAUCGCU